rnacentral:lncRNA from 1 species
GUACUUAACCCAGAACUCAUGCAGUUCAUCCAAAAUGAUGGUAAACUUUUUUCCUCAGAAUUACCUAACUUUCCUUGACUAUGAAUUCAACAUUCAAGAAUCUUCUUCUGGUAGCAGGAGCGGCAGAGAGGACAGGCAUGGAAAGGAGGCCUGUCUCCCACGGAGAACUCCUCUAGUGCCAGCAGACACGCAUGGUGGAACACAUGUGAGCAGGACAGGAGGGCCAUCUCUCUGGAACGCCUGCCUGCACCCACGCGCUGACCGCCAGCAGCGGAGAGAGGGGCCAGGCAGAUGGAGCACUCGUGGGUCUCCCGGCGCAGAGCCUGCGGCACACAGGACGGGAAGAGGCCACGCGGCUCCCUGCAGGAAGCGUGCCCUGCAGCAGGCGCGAACCACCCGAGCGGCCUCCACAUGCACCUAGACAGGCACGCCGGCUGGGUGCUCACACCUGGGCCCUUGCACCUGUGUCUGCCCAGAGGGGCUGGUCAGCACACCCUUUACAAUGAAGGCUCACAAAGUACACAACUCCAAGUGCCAGUCCAUGAAAGCAGUUCGCAUAGACUUUUCAUGCAGUUGAGUCUAAUUUAUAUUUUACUAUCCAC